AUAUACACUCAAAAAAAGGAUAUUGGCUGGUUGUUACAUUUACUAAUGUGUAACAUGUAGAAUGAACGAUAUUCAUUAAUGUUUUCAAUGUGAACGUGAUUCAGUCAUGUAGGAUUGGCAUGAACUUCAAAAACGUAACGUUUAUUAGAUCCAUUCAUGUUGCGAUUAACUGAGAGAAUCGAGUAGCCAGGCAUGACCGCGAAAACCAAGGCGAAGGCAGUCUUCGUCAGAACCAGAUUAAGAAGAUACACCGUUGGCCGCACAUGGAAAAGCAAUUUCUGACUGCAAAAGUGUCCUGUGUCUGCUAUCCCCCAAAGUGUGUCUUGGAUCAACCUCACUGACUACACCAUCCCACUACAAGUCUCCUGGAAUUCAAGAGAAUCACAACAAUCAAUUUGCAGUCAAAGUUCUUCUCCCAGCUGGAUCUGUACUCUGAAAACCUGAUCCAGGUGUAUGCCAAGAAAAGUGGAGUUCAAGGGAGAAAGAUCAAGAGCAUCAUGGUACCCAUAACCCAGACUGCCAGCAUUGACGUCAGACGAGAAUGCGUCCUCAAAGGUCUAUGUGUUUACUUGAACGAAGAUCCAGAGAAGCUGGUGAAGGAAUACACGAAUAUUGAAAGCAGUCAAACAGCUAUGGCGGAGACAGUCUUUGCGAUCCAUGUGAUUCGAAAAGAAGGAGCGGAGCCGAGUGAUGACCCAGAUGAAG